UAGUCCUGGCCGUAAACGAUGUCGACUAGAUCGUGGCAGCUCUGACGUUGUCAUGGUCGAAGCAAAAGUGCUAAGUCGACCGCCUGGGAAGUACGGUCGCAAGGCUAAAACUCAAAGGAAUUGACGGGGGCUCACACAAGCGGUGGAGCAUGUGGUUCAAUUCGAAGCAACGCGCAGAACCUUACCUGGGCUUGACAUGCUAGGAUUAUCCCUAUGAAAGUAGGGUAGGCCCUUCGGGGUACAACUAGUAC
rnacentral:rRNA from 1 species